rnacentral:rRNA from 1 species
UACAGAGGGUGCGAGCGUUAAUCGGAAUUACUGGGCGUAAAGCGCGCGUAGGCGGCUUUGCAAGCCGGAUGUGAAAUCCCCGGGCUUAACCUGGGAACUGCAUUCGGGACUGCAUUGCUAGAGUAUGGGAGAGGGAAGUGGAAUUUCAGGUGUAGCGGUGAAAUGCGUAGAUAUCUGAAGGAACAUCAGUGGCGAAAGCGACUUCCCGGACCAAUACUGACGCUCAUGUGCGAAAGCGUGGGGAGCAAACAGG